rnacentral:sRNA from 1 species
UCCGAUUGUAGAGCCGGUUGCAGAGUUGC